rnacentral:rRNA from 1 species
GUCCGCGCUGUAAACGAUGAGUGCUAGACGGUGGAGGUAUUGACCCCUUCGCUGCCGAAGCUAACGCGUUAAGCACUCCGCCUGGGGAGUACGGUCGCAAGACUAAAACUCAAAGGAAUUGACGGGGCCCGCACAAGCGGUGGAGCAUGUGGUUUAAUUCGACGCAACGCGCAAAACCUUACCUGGGUUAAAUCCGCCGGAACCUGUCUGAAAGGAUGGGGUGCCCCUUCGGGGAAUCGGUGAGAAGGUGCUGCAUGGCUGUCGU